rfam:Cavia porcellus supercont2_9 genomic scaffold, whole genome shotgun sequence.
GGGGAUUUAGCUCAGUGGCAUAAGCACCUGCCUUGCAAGCAGGCGGUUGUGAGUUCAACCCCCG